AACGAACGCUGGCGGCAUGCCUAACACAUGCAAGUCGAACGAAGGCUUCGGCCUUAGUGGCGCACGGGUGAGUAACACGUGGGAACCUGCCUUAUGGUUCGGGAUAACGUCUGGAAACGGACGCUAACACCGGAUGUGCCCUUCGGGGGAAAGUUUACGCCAUGAGAGGGGCCCGCGUCAGAUUAGGUAGUUGGUGGGGUAAUGGCCCACCAAGCCGACGAUCGGUAGCUGGUCUGAGAGGAUGAUCAGCCACACUGGGACUGAGACACGGCCCGGCCUCCUACGGGAGGCAGCAGUGGGGAAUAUUGGACAAUGGGGGCAACCCUGAUCCAGCAAGGCCGCGUGAGUGAUGAAGGCCUUAGGGUUGUAAAGCUCUGUCGCACGCGACGAUGAUGACGGUAGCGUGAGAAGAAGCCCCGGCUAACUUCGUGCCAGCCGCCGCUGUAACAC
rnacentral:rRNA from 1 species